rnacentral:rRNA from 1 species
AGUGAACGCUGGCGGUAGGCCUAACACAUGCAAGUCGAACGGCAGCACAGUAAGAGCUUGCUCUUACGGGUGGCGAGUGGCGGACGGGUGAGGAAUACAUCGGAAUCUACUCUUUCGUGGGGGAUAACGUAGGGAAACUUACGCUAAUACCGCAUACGACCUACGGGUGAAAGCAGGGGAUCUUCUGACCUUGCGCGAUUGAAUGAGCCGAUGUCGGAUUAGCUAGUUGGCGGGGUAAAGGCCCACCAAGGCGACGAUCGGUAGCCGGUCUGAGAGGAUGGUCAGCCACACUGGAUGUGAGACACGGUCCAGACUCCUACGGGGGGCAGCAGUCGGGAAUAUUAGGCAAUGGGCGCGAGCCUGAUCCAGCCAUACCGCGUGGGUGAAGAAGGCCUUCGGGUUGGAAAGCCCUUUUGUCGGUAGAGAAAAGCAGCAGGUUAAUACCCCGCUGUUCUGACGGUACCCAGAGAAUAAGCACCGGCUAACUUCGUG